AGUGAACGCUGGCGGUAGGCCUAACACAUGCAAGUCGAACGGCAGCACAGUAAGAGCUUGCUCUUACGGGUGGCGAGUGGCGGACGGGUGAGGAAUACAUCGGAAUCUACUUUUUCGUGGGGGAUAAUGUAGGGAAACUUACGCUAAUACCGCAUACGACCUACGGGUGAAAGCAGGGGAUCUUCGGACCUUGCGCGAUUGAAUGAGCCGACGUCGGAUUAGCUAGUUGGCGGGGUAAAGGCCCACCAAGGCGACGAUCCGUAGCUGGUCUGAGAGGAUGAUCAGCCACACUGGAACUGAGACACGGUCCAGACUCCUACGGGAGGCGGCAGUGGGGAAUAUUGGACAAUGGGCGCAAGCCUGAUCCAGCCAUACCGCGUGGGUGAAGAAGGCCUUCGGGUUGUAAAGCCCUUUUGUUGGGAAAGAAAAGCAGCAGGUUAAUACCCCGCUGUUCUGACGGUACCCAAAGAAUAAGCACCGGCUAACUUCGUG
rnacentral:rRNA from 1 species